CAGACGCCUCAGCGGAUCACAGGCCAGAAUAAGGAAGGGGCCGGCAGUAUCCGAGGGGGCCUUGAGUGAGGCCGACACAUGUGUACAAACACACCAGCUCCUCUCGGUGGCCAAAAAGGAUUAAUAGGACAUGGGGAGAAGGGGAUGUCCAGGGUAGGCUUCAGAUUCAUACAGCUUUCUGCAAAGGUAAGAGAUAUUAAGCCUUUUGGGACUAAUGCCUUUGUUCACUUGCUCUGAUUUGCUUUCCCUGUAAGGUGAAGAAGAGCUGGGCGAGAAAACAGCCCUUCCUCUACUCCUCUAUUAUGUUCAGCAUUCUCUCAACGUCUUAAGUGUAGACUAAAUCUCUCAGCUUUUAAAUUAACGCGACCCCAUGUUCACACGGCUGAUCAUGCGGCCGUGCCUGCCUGUGAGAAGAUCCGGCGUCCAGGGUGAUUUCUGGGGACGUAAUCAACAGACAGCAUGAAUGGGAGGACUGGUUGGGAAGCUCUGAAAGUUUCUCGUGCGCUCCAUGCUUUGUCAUUAUCUCGGAGUAAUUGGAGUUGAGAGGGUAGGACCUCUAAUGAGCGGCUUCUGUCCCCUAAUGGAUGGGGGACUGGAAAUUAGUGCAGCUCCUGCUGUUGCACAUGAGUGAACCGAGGCGGCCGGAGCCGCCAGCGAGUCCCUCCAGGAGGUUUUCGGCAACUGCCUAAUGGUGGCCUCGCUAAUGGCAACAAUUACAGAAUAGCCUUUUCAAUAAGACCCGUGUGCAUCAGUUAGAGACUAAUCUCAUUGAGCAACAACAGGCCUGUGACAAUGUCCAUUCAGUGACUAGUGCUUCAGCCUUGCUGGCUAGAAGUGGUUUUCAUGUCUCCCGAGAAAGCCAAAAGCGACAACAUGUGACACCAAGCUGCUCCCCAUUGUAAAACCAAAACUGCGACAGCAAAUGAGAAAGGAGGCAUGCCUUCUCCCCAAACCUAUCUCUUGCCAGGGGAGCCCCUUUCUGUACCCGAGGCAUUCUGUGUGACACGUACAGGGC
rnacentral:lncRNA from 1 species